GUUGACAUCACCACCGCCUCCGUCUUCUCCUUCUCUGCGUUGGAGCCUGCAGCCUGGUACAUCCUGCAAGGAAAGGCGGUGGAGGUCUCUCAUUGGCCAGAAGCUACCAGGGCAGGAAUCCAGCCACCACACUGUGAAGAAGCCCAAACUAGCCUGCCUGGAGAGACCAAUGGAAACACCCAUGUGGAGAGGAACUGAGGCCCCCAACCUAUAGUCAGCACCCACCACGAGCUUUGUGAGUGAAUGAGCCUUCAGAUUAUUCCAAAGUCCAGCGUUGGCUGCCUCCAGCUAAGGCCCUAGACAUCACAGAGCAGAGGCAGUUCCAUGAAGAGUCCCCCUACUCUUCUGAGAGAAAGCCGAGUAGAGAAAAACUAGUCAGGAACUUUCCUGCCAGAGGACCCACCCACUCCUGCCUCGUGCGCCAUCUCCCUCCAUGUCUACAAAUACAGGAGGCAGUGUACACUAGCAGUAAAGAAAAGAAGAUAUAGAAGGUGGAACCAAGAGCCCGGAGCAUGGAGCCAAGAAGUGUGGAGAAGCAUUCCCAGGCAGUAGCACUGAGCCCUAAUCAAGAAACUGGCAAUAUGUGCCUGUCUGGAUUUCAAAAUUGCUGUGGACCAGUGACUACUGUGACAUAUGCCUUUGGACCUCUGAGUUGUCAGGAGAGAAGUCCAGCUAUUCUGAAGCUGCGUGUGGGAGAGUUUGUGUGCAGAGGCCACAGAGAGACAGAGAGGAACUCCAGCUGGUCCAGCCCUACUUGUUUGAGUCCUCCCAGCCCAGGUGCCACAUAUGUGAGUGCACAAGCCACAGUCACACUCUGACUACAACUUCAUGAGACUCCAAUCCAGAACUGCCCAGCUGAGUUCCCUGUUUCCUGACCCACAGAAACUGUGAAUGAGUUCCCUCCCACACUGAAUCUGGUCUAGGACUAUAACUCACCUUAACCAACGGAAUAUGGCCAAAGAGAUGCUGGGCCAGUGCAGGCCUGAGCUUUAAUAAGGUUUGAGGCUUCCACUUUCAUACUUUUGGGAGUCCUGAGCUGUUAUGUAAGAAGUCUGGAUCCCUGCUAGAGAAAUCCACAUGGAGAGGAGACCUGGAAAGGCCACAUGGAGAGGGAGAGACCCUGGGAGUACAUAGAGAGAGAGAGAAUUCCGGCAAUCCUACCGUCUCCACUGAACCCAGCCUUCCAGGGUCCUUGCCUGGGUGCUAGACAUGAGAAUCCACCAUCUUGACUCAGCCAGCCCAGUCAAGAUCCCAGAUGACUACAGUCUCAGCUGCCAUCUGGCUGUAGCAGCACGAUAGUCCCCAGGCGAGAUCAGUAGAAGUGGUGUCCAGUCAACUUACCAAAUCAUGAGAGAUAAUAAGUGUUUGUUGUUCGUUUUAAGCCACUGUGUUUUAGGGUGGUUUGUUACAUGGCAUUAGAUAACCCAAAGGUGCCCA